rnacentral:rRNA from 1 species
AAGGGCUUGCAGGCGGUUUCUUAAGUCUGAUGUGAAAGCCCCCGGCUCAACCGGGGGAGGGUCAUUGGAAACUGGGGAACUUGAGUGCAGAAGAGGAGAGUGGAAUUCCACGUGUAGCGGUGAAAUGCGUAGAGAUGUGGAGGAACACCAGUGGCGAAGGCGACUCUCUGGUCUGUAACUGACGCUGAGGAGCGAAAGCGUGGGGAGCGAACAGGAUUAGAUACCCUGGUAGUCCACGCCGUAAACGAUGAGUGCUAAGUGUUAGGGGGUUUCCGCCCCUUAGUGCUGCAGCUAACGCAUUAAGCACUCCGCCUGGGGAGUACGGUCGCAAGACUGAAACUCAAAGGAAUUGACGGGGGCCCGCACAAGCGGUGGAGCAUGUGGUUUAAUUUGAAGCAACGCGAAGAACCUUACCAGGUCUUGACAUCCUUUGACAAUCCUAGAGAUAGGACGUCCCCUUCGGGGGCAGAGUGACAGGUGGUGCAUGGUUGUUGUCAGCUCGUGUCGUGAGAUGUUGGGUUAAGUCCCGCAACGAGCGCAACCCUUGAUUUUAGUUGCCAGCAUUCAGUUGGGCACUUUAAGGUGACUGCCGGUGACAAACCGGAGGAAGGUGGGGAUGACGUCAAAUCAUCAUGCCCCUUAUGACCUGGGCUACACACGUGGUACAAUGGGCAGAACAAAGGGCAGCGAAACCGCGAGGUUAAGCCAAUCCCACAAAUUUGUUUUCAGUUCGGAUCGCAGUUUGCAACUUGACUGCGUGAAGCUGGAAUCGCUAGUAAUCGCGGAUCAGCAUGCCGCGGGGAAUACGUUCCCGGGCCUUGUACAC